ACUCCUACGGGAGGCAGCAGUGGGGAAUAUUGCACAAUGGGCGCAAGCCUGAUGCAGCCAUGCCGCGUGUGUGAAGAAGGCCUUCGGGUUGUAAAGCACUUUCAGUUGUGAGGAAGGUGGUGUCGUUAAUAGCGGCAUCAUUUGACGUUAGCAACAGAAGAAGCACCGGCUAACUCCGUGCCAGCAGCCGCGGUAAUACGGAGGGUGCGAGCGUUAAUCGGAAUUACUGGGCGUAAAGCGCAUGCAGGUGGUUUGUUAAGUCAGAUGUGAAAGCCCGGGGCUCAACCUCGGAACUGCAUUUGAAACUGGCAGACUAGAGUACUGUAGAGGGGGUAGAAUUUCAGGUGUAGCGGUGAAAUGCGUAGAGAUCUGAAGGAAUACCGGUGGCGAAGGCGGCCCCUGGACAGAUACUGACACUCAGAUGCGAAAGCGUGGGAGCAAACAGGAUUAGAUACCCUGGUAGCACAGAG
rnacentral:rRNA from 1 species